CAGAGAAAUUCGCCCUCACGGGUGACUCUCCAACCCUUUGUUAUUAUACUUUCGUUGCUUUGGCGAGCCGCCUCGUGCCACUGACUUCGGUCGGUGAGUGCCCGCCAGAGAACCUAAAACUCUUGAAUUUAUUAUUGUCUGAGUACUAUAUAAUAGUUA
rnacentral:misc_RNA from 1 species